AGUGAACGCUGGCGGUAGGCCUAACACAUGCAAGUCGAACGGCAGCACAGUAAGAGCUUGCUCUUACGGGUGGCGAGUGGCGGACGGGUGAGGAAUACAUCGGAAUCUACUUUUUCGUGGGGGAUAACGUAGGGAAGCUUACGCUAAUACCGCAUACGACCUACGGGUGAAAGCAGGGGAUCUUCGGACCUUGCGCGAUUGAAUGAGCCGAUGUCGGAUUAGUUAGUUGGCGGGGUAAAGGCCCACCAAGGCGACGAUCCGUAGCUGGUCUGAGAGGAUGAUCAGCCACACUGGAACUGAGACACGGUCCAGACUCCUACGGGAGGCAGCAGUGGGGAAUAUUGGACAAUGGGCGCAAGCCUGAUCCAGCCAUACCGCGUGGGUGAAGAAGGCCUUCGGGUUGUAAAGCCCUUUUGUUGGGAAAGAAAAGCAGCAGGUUAAUACCCCGCUGUUCUGACGGUACCCAAAGAAUAAGCACCGGCUAACUUCGUG
rnacentral:rRNA from 1 species